UAAUACAGAGGGUGCAAACGUUGCUCGGAAUUACUGGGCGUAAAGCGCGUGUAGGCGGUUCGUUAAGUCGUCUGUGAAAGCCCAUGGCUCAACCAUGGAAGUGCAGCCGAUACUGGCAAACUUGAGUCCCGGAGAGGAUGGCGGAAUUCCCAGUGUAGAGGUGAAAUUCGUAGAUAUUGGGAGGAACACCGGUGGCGAAGGCGGCCAUCUGGACGGGUACUGACGCUGAGACGCGAAAGCGCGGGUAGCAAACAGGAUUAGAUACCCUGGUAGUCCGCGCUGUAAACGAUGAACACUAGGUGUUGUGGGUAUUGACCCCUGCAGUGCCGACGCUAACGCAUUAAGUGUUCCGCCUGGGGACUACGGCCGCAAGGCUA
rnacentral:rRNA from 1 species